rnacentral:misc_RNA from 1 species
GGAAGGAUCAUUAACACUUCGGGUCUCGCGCCCGACUAUCAAACAACUGUGAACCCGUCCUACUUAAUUUUUCCACCACAACCAAACAAUACUACUAAAGUAAAUUACAAACCAAAAUACAACUUUUAGCAAUGGAUAUCUUGGUUCCCACAACGAUGAAGAACGCAGCGAAAUGCGAUACGUAAUGCGAAUUGCAGUAUUCGUGAAUCAUCAAAUCUUUGAACGCAAGUUGCGCUUUCGAGAUAUCCUUGAAAGCAUGCCUCUUUGAGUAUCGGUUACUAUUCUUUCGAUUAACGUCGAAGAGACUGGGCCUAUUCCAUUCUUCUCGUUUGCGCGAGUCGAGAGCGGGAUUGACUUCAAGUUUAUGGAAACAUGUCCUGAAUUUUUGGGAGCAAUCGUUCAGGAUUCCAUCAAAACCAUGCGAUACACUAAAGAUCUCAAAUGAGGUAAGACUACCCGCUGAAUUUAAGCAUAUAAUUAAGCGGAGGAAAAGAAACUAACAAGGAUAGCAUCAGUAACGGCGAGUGAAGCUGCUAGAGCUCAAACCUGAAAUCUCUGUCAUUGGGCAGCGAGUUGUGGUCUAUUGAGACGUGUCUCAGUGGUGAUCCCGGUCUAAAUCAAUUGGAACAUUGUAUCAGAGAGGGUGAGAAUCCCGUCUUUGGCUGGGCCAUCGUCGCGUACGAGCCGUCUUCGAAGAGUCGGAUUGCUUGGGAGUGCAGUCCUAAGUGGGUGGUAAAUUUCAUCUAAAGCUAAAUACAUGUGGGAGACCGAUAGCGAACAAGUACCGUGAGGGAAAGAUGAAAAGAACUUUGAAAAGAGAGUUAAAAAGUACUUGAAAUUGCUGAGAACGAAGGGAUGGCGACUAGUAAUAGUCGCGGUGGCCCUCGCGGUGUCUUCCAAAGUCGAUUGUUGGAUUGCUUGUCUUCCACUGUUGAAUUAGGCUGGGCUGCGGGACUCUGUCGCCGCGAACUUAGGUCAGAAUGGAUUCGCUUCCGUUGAAAUGGCCGUCGGGAAGGUAACUGCACCUGCAGAACUUAUAGCCCGGCGGUUUUGAACGGUCGCGGAUUGAGGCGUUGAAGCAUUCUCUGAGAUUCACUUGGCGCUGUUUGCCGUCCGCGUUUGGGGAACAACGUUCCGUCUGCGCGCGUCGGUGGCACUCGUCGGGCUGAUCAUCUGUCUGCUCACGAUUCUGACGAAAUGGUCGUCAUUCGCCCGUCUUGAAACACGGACCAAGGAGUCUUACAUCUAUGCGAGUAAUCAAGUGGAAAACUUGUUUGCGAAAUGAAAGUGAAUGAAUGUGACCCUGUCAAAGGGGGCAACAUCGGGCGGCUAAAAUAACUGUACGACCAUGAGCAUAUCUGUAGGGACCCGAAAGAUGGUGAACUAUGCUUGAGCAGGAUGAAGCCAGGGGAAACUCUGGUGGAAGUCCGAAGCGAUACUGACGUGCAAAUCGUUCGUCUGACUUGAGUAUAGGGGCGAAAGACUAAUCGAACUAUCUAGUAGCUGGUUCCCUC